ACAUCGUUCCAUUUUUUUCUUAUUUGUGGCCCACAAAAAUAAUCCAGUCAUCGGGAUUUGACGUGUCCGGCCAAACGCCAUGUUGGCAUACAUGUGUAAUUAAUAAAAAGGAAAAAAAACUAAUGAAAAUCCACUAAGUCAAAAUCGCAUCUCUAGUGUUGAAGAAAAAAAACGUUUUCUUCAUUAACUUUCUAACUCUUCCCUCCUCUCCCAUCUCCUCCGCCGCCCAUUCCCCUCUCCCAUCUCAUCCGCUUUGCCUUUGAUCAAAAGUAGUUUAGGGAGAGUGAAGUGAAGCUAUAGGCGAUGGCACAAGGGCAGUUGUGAUUCCUCCAUGAAUCGAUGGAAGAAGACAGUGGCGGCGCUGGGAUGGCGACGACAGGUGUUGCUCGCUGUUCAUCCCCAUUCAAGAAAGAUGAUAGAGCCGCAGCGACAGAGGUCAUGCUUUGGCUGUUGCUCACUGGAAAUUGAACAAGAAGAAGGCUAGGAAUUUUAGAGAUUUCAUAAAUUGAAAAAUUUGUGGGUUCUGUGAGAGGGGGAACGAGAUGAGGGAUUUAGGGGAUCGAGAGUGGGAGAAGGUGAGGAAGGGGCAGGAGGUGGUCGGCGGCGACGAUGGCGUGCUUCCCAACCGAAAAUUUGAGAAGGAGUAGGAGAUAUUUUCUGCUCCAUGUGUGCGCGCGCGUGUUUUCUGAAUGGCGUCGAGUUUGAGUGUUUUCUGCCCAGUUCCCCUCAUCCCCAUGGAGGUCAUCGUCUUCAUCAUCUUCAGAGUUUUCUUGGAAUUUUUGGGGGGUGUUGAGGUAGAUUUGAGGGGGGCAGAUGUGGUGAUCCGGCAGCAGCAGUGGUGGGGAUAUCCGACAGGGGUAGCAAUGGGGAUUCGGCAGGGGCAGGUGUAGUGAUUGGAAUUUGUUUUUUUUUUUUUUUUUUAAUUCCACGUGUUCUUCCAACUUGUCAAUUUGCUGGAACACGUUAAAAUCCGGUCGUCGGAUUAUUUUUGUGGGCCACAAAUAAGAAAAACAUGAAACGAUGGGUAUUGUUUUGUAAA